rnacentral:rRNA from 1 species
UACGUAGGGGGCAAGCGUUGUCCGGAAUCAUUGGGCGUAAAGAGCGCGUAGGCGGCCCGAUAAGUCCGCUGUGAAAGUCAAGGGCUCAACCCUUGAAUGCCGGUGGAUACUGUCGGGCUAGAGUCCGGAAGAGGCGAGUGGAAUUCCUGGUGUAGCGGUGAAAUGCGCAGAUAUCAGGAGGAACACCAAUGGCGAAGGCAGCUCGCUGGGACGGUACUGACGCUGAGGGACGAAAGCUAGGGGAGCGAAUGGG